CCAGACUCCUACGGGAGGCAGCAGUGGGGAAUAUUGCACAAUGGGCGCAAGCCUGAUGCAGCCAUGCCGCGUGUGUGAAGAAGGCCUUCGGGUUGUAAAGCACUUUCAGCGGGGAGGAAGGCAAUAAGGUUAAUAACCUUGUUGAUUGGCGUUACCCGCAGAAGAAGCACCGGCUAACUCCGUGCCAGCAGCCGCGGUAAUACGGAGGGUGCAAGCGUUAAUCGGAAUUACUGGGCGUAAAGCGCACGCAGGCGGUCUGUCAAGUCGGAUGUGAAAUCCCCGGGCUCAACCUGGGGACUGCAUUCGAAACUGGCAGGCUAGAGUCUUGUAGAGGGGGGUAGAAUUCCAGGUGUAGCGGUGAAAUGCGUAGAGAUCUGGAGGAAUACCGGUGGCGAAGGCGGCCCCCUGGACAAAGACUGACGCUCAGGUGCGAAAGCGUGGGGAGCAAACAGGAUUAGAUACCCCCGUAAA
rnacentral:rRNA from 1 species